rnacentral:rRNA from 1 species
UUUGGCAGCUGGAUGUCGCCCUGAACUUGCCCGAUCUCGUCUCAUCUCGGAAGCUAAGCAGGGUCGGGCCUGGUGAGUGAGUACGAGGAUGGGAGACCACUUAGGCAUACCAGGUGCUGUAGGC